rnacentral:lncRNA from 1 species
AAUAAACUUAAGAUAUAGAUGCACUUUUACUGGUGUAUUAAAUAACAUUUCAGACAUUUUUUUUAAAAAAAGAAAUACAUCUUAAUGUAAUCAACAACCAGAAUUCUAGGAACAAUAAGGGAGGCCAGGGUUGUUUCGAUGGAGUCUGAUAUUGUUUCUAAAAUCUCUAACAGCCAAGCCAAGCAGAGUUGUUAUUUAGGUAAUGGGAAAGUACUACAGGAUAAAGUUAAUGAACUUUUUUUCUUAGGAAAAAAAAAGGAGGAAACAAAUUUCCUAGCUUCCCACCAAAUACAAUGUGAACAAUGUGAAAUAUUCUGGUUGUUUCUUUAUCUCCAUAAUCUAGCAAAGCCUUAAAGAAAACUAAAAAGCCAUUUUCUGGUGCUCCCAUACCCAUCUCUAGAUAGGGGGCAUUGAAAUAACUCUAGCCCAAGUCCUACAGAGGUGCGCAAGUUUAUUCCAUGGUUUGCUAGCUGAGUGGCAAACCUCUGCCACUUUUGUAUUAUUUCUCACUCUGAAUCAAGUGGUGGGAAUAUGUACCAGGAUCCAUGGGUCUCUCCUGCCACUAGCUGCCCCCUGUUAAGAGAUUGUGUAUCCUUGAAAAAGUAAACUUUCCUAAAUAGGGAAAAUGUAUAAAAUUUAGCUGUACAUCUCAUUUAGUUAUAUUGUCAAGAUCCAUUCAUAGUACUUCAAGAUUCAUUUUUUCCUUUCAUUUUAAAUAAACACUGUCCUGUUUGCCUCACUGAAAUAUACAAGCAGACCCCAAGAAACAUCUUUACCUUUGACCCUCACCUCACCAUCCCUCUUUCUUUUUCUGUACAAGCUCCAUUCUUUACCUCAUUCUUUAACCUGUCUAGGACUGCAAUGGAAUCUAGAACAGAGUUCUAUAAACUGAUGGAAAAAUCAACAAAGACAAAUCACAGAGACCAGUGAUAAAAAGAGAACUUCUCUCAUCCAGCACUACCCAACCUGCUUCUGUAGCAAGGCAAAUGAAUGCAGCGUAUAGACAAACAGGCGCAGGUACCAAUGCACUCACAUGCCAUUUCCCCCCCAUUGUUGCUAUUGCAUCUCUUUAUUAGUUGCUUUUGGAGAAAUAAGAAGCUAGAAAGAUGAGUGCCUUUAUUAAAGCCAUUUCACCAGAAAAUUUGUCCAACCAGUAUAUGGUUUCCACUGGUAGGAGCACGAGGAGAAGAGGCAGAGUGCCUUUGUUGCUACAUCGGAAAUAUAUAGGAGGUAACUUCGUGGGAACCGAGGAUGUUGAGAAGUGCCAAGAACAAUAUUUGUGGCCAUCCCCUCCAUCUGACCCUCAUAUAACUCUCCCACAUGAUCCUUUCUCUCCCAUCCUACAUUAUAAACUUUAAAAGUGACAUAUUUUGAGGAAACACAGGAGCUCUUUCAGCAUGGCCGUAUUCCGCAUUGUUGUCUUUAGGGAAAAGAAAGGUUUGUCGUUGUGGCUAGCCAACAUCUUAGGGAUGACUGCCCCAGAAAUUUCUUCCAGUGGCAGUGAUGGAGCUUUUUCCCCUUAGCAUGUACUGAUUCCCCAAACCAGCAUCAAAACUGCCCAAGUAGCUUUAGAAUCUGAAUGGCAAGCAUGGGUCAAAACCAUGGCGUGUCCGUUUAACACGUGAUGGUUUCUAGUCAGUAGCCCCUGUGGGUAAGAACAAAAAACGCCUUCUCAAGGUCCACUAAAAUGCCCUGCAGAGGGCAGAUGCUGCUUGUUUUCUGCCUACAAUGGAGGAGGAUAUUGACCCAGAACUCAAAUCUAUAUCCAGCUUAAACAUUUUACCCAUCAGCGUAUCUGUGGUCACAGAACACUUCUUCUUUCUGUCACUUCUCCUUCAGACUAUUGAUAAGAUCAUUUGGCUGAAUCUGUUUGGGACCUGUGUAAUAUUGACUAGGAGUUAGAAAAGAUGAUCAGAUAUAAUAAGCCCAGAAACUACCUCUCAAAAUGGACAUUUAUACUUAAACCAGCGUUCCAAGGAGGACUUUAAAUACACCAGGAAACUUGUAAACUAACCCAAUACUGCUUGGAUUUCUCACUAACCUUAAAACUGAUUUUGUAAGUGUAAUGUUCCAUCUAAAACUAUCUGAAACGGUCUGUUAUUGGCAUCACGGUCUUGAGUCUCUCCCAUACAUUCUUUUCUUUUUUUCUUUCCUUGUUUUAGAGCCUGUUUACUUGCCUGAAGAGAAAUAGACACUGUUGAAUAAACCAUGGCAAAAUCCAUCUUUUUCUGUAAACCUAACAGGAAUAAUAUAUAGGGCCUAUCUCUAAUCACUUGGUAAACACACAUAUUGCCUAUUGUCAGUUAUUCUUUGUUGAAAGAUAUUUGUUAAUUUUUAUUAAAAAGAAUAGUCCUCUUAACUAAGCCUUGCUCUUCUGUAGAUCCCACAUUAUGUGAGGACAUGUGGGUAGAGAUUAAAGUCCGUCUUGUUCCAUUGAUGCCUUCCAAAAAAGCGCAACCAGAGAAGGUAAAGCUAACCUGGAAAGAAGAUACAGGGAUGUCUGCAUAAAUUUAAAGGGGACAAACGUCUCUUUGUCAGACCAUGAAAUGACAAACAAAUUGAAGCUCAAACCCAAUGGUCAUUUCAAUUCACUGCUACAGGCGUGGAGACUGAAAGGUUUGGGACUGAUAGCUUUUGCAAGAAAAGUGAAUCAGAACAGUAGCCUCUCUUAAAAAAAAAAAAAAGACCCUGAAAGUUAUAAACAUGAAACCUGGCAGUAUAUGCAUAAAAUUUAUUCCAAAACUUUAUGAAGUAUAAAGGAAGGGAAGUGUUUCACACAGAACUCCACUCAGUCAGUAUAAGGUCUAGGGCUUUUCCCCCCCUUAAAACUUGGCACUAUCUUUAAAAAUAAAAUAAAGAUAUUUCAAUAAUUAGAACAAACUAUGAAGGUAUUGUGCAUUUCUGUUUUAUGUAGAUAAUAAAAUAUUACUUUAACAUAAAUAUAUAAGGAUCUCUGCGUUUUUAUUUUCCCCACAAGCACAACCAAAUGUACCAAAACAAAGUAUUUUUAAAGAGACUGAACAAAAAAAUUACAUCCCAUAUAGAUUUUGCUCACCUACUCACUUAAAGCUACAGAAAAACAGUUUCCAGAACCUUUUUGCUUUAAAAGAAAUAAAUAUACAUUGAGGCAGGCCACUUAAAAAUGAUAUGAAAAUAUUUCCCUGGGUAGCAUUAAAAAAAAAGAAAAAUAGACAAAGAAACAUUUAAACUAUUUCUGCAUUUCAAAAGACAGAUAUUAAACAUAUAUACAUAGUGGUAAGGUUCAGUGGUAACUUAGUAAACCUAUGAGAGUUAGAGAAGCUUUAGACACAUCCCCUGAACUCCAGCUUCUGACCUUACCCACUCGGUAAUAAGAAUCUGAAAAUUCAUUUCCUCCACCAUUGGCUAUUUGCCCUGCUCUGGAUUGCUCCACUAAAGGCCAGUCCCCAUACCUCAGGAAGAAGCAGCGUGAUGCACCGAAAGCAGCUCCAUGCCCAUCUCCUUGUGACAUUCAUUGGGGGAAAUGAAAUACAGGCAAAUAAAUAUGCCCAUUAUAAGUCAUCAUUUAUCUUGCAAAAACAUUGAAAAUGAAACAAUCACAGGUGUUUGAAAAGACAAUAUAAAGCAUAUUUCCUAAAACCUUAACUACUGAGUGCAAUGCUAAUCUGAUUCGGAACCAUAAUUUUAUGGCAUUGAGAAUUUAAUCUUUUAAAAUAAAAAUUUGCCUAAUACCUAACCAGAAAAAAAGCCCUAAACUUUUAAGAUUAAUAAAAAGUGUUUUCCCUUUUAGCGCCCGUUUGUGCUGAUUACUUUUUAAUAUUUUAACUGAUCACAGCUUAAUGGUAUUUCUUUUCAAUACAGUUACAAGUUUUUUCACCUACUCUCUCGGUCGAGUCUUUUGUUAUGGGAGUUAACCAUUUUCCAUCAAGAUAAGGUAAAAAGACACACUUAAAACUAUUAGCAAAACUAUUAACAAAAGGAAGGAUUGAAAAUAGCAUUUUUUCCCACUGCAUUUGGCUUCCUUACUGAAAGAGGGGGGAAAAGCUGUCCAAGUCAAACCAGUAUUUUCUGCAAUAAAUUACAGGAGAAGAGGGUGUGGGACCUUAAAUACGAUUUGAUAAACAAAUGAGCUAGUGAAGACAAAACCAGUGUAGAGUGGAGAUAUUCUCUGUAUGCAUGUGCGUAUUUGUGUGCUAAGAAACACAGUCUUUGCAUACACCAUUAAGUUCCCAGAUUAUUUUCUUUAUGUUGAAAAAAAAAAAAGCUAUUAGAGGAACAAAGUUUAACUGCUGUUGUCAGCACAAAUAAUUCCUCAUAAUUAAGUUAUUAAAACUGAAGGCAGAGAACUAUAUAGGGGUGUCUGAAGAUGUAUAUUUCCCUAGUUCUCUCCGAAGUGCCACUUUCUUUCUGUUGGACAACUCUGGAAAUAUAUUUAACCUCCACAUUUCCUCUGAGCUCUCUCACAAUGGGCCCGCCUGAUGAAAUGAAGCAAUCAGUCACUCACUAUCGAUUUUUCUUUUUCUCCCCUUCACACCUCCCCCAGAAACACUGCCUGAAAAUGAAGUUUACUUUGUGGCCGGUAACAAAAACCAAUGCUUCACUCUCCUUUUUGUACUCCGUACUGGAUUCUUGCCUUGGAUAAAGCGGGUGGACCAUGCACAUUUCCUGAAAGCAGAGAAUUAUUUAUUUUGUUUGAAGCCAAUCGUUUUGCUUUGGUAAAAGGGGCAAAUAAACGUUACACCCAUGUAAAGGAGGGGGGGGGAUCUGAAGGUAACCAAAGUUCACAAACAGCAAGAAGAACAAGGGACAACACAAGAACGUUAGAAAUGGAGAGUGGCCAAGAGCUGGCUUCAACUCUCUCCGCUGAAUAAAACAAAACAAACCCCGGCAAUUUCAAAAUGAACGGUGGGAGAAAGAAAAAUACGUUCACGAAUUUGUUCCUGUAAACUUCGAUUUUCUUGCAGUGCAAACUGACGUGGUUAAAUUUUGCCUACAUCAAGGAACGUGUGUAUUUUUUCCUUUUUCCUGAUGGGGGUCCACAUUAAACAAACACAGCAGCAAGUGCCAACUCGGAGCAUCAGGAAGCUGUGUUUGGUGUUUAUCAAGGUUUGGUGGACUUUUUCUUUCUUUUUGGUAAUUUGUUUAGUUUUGCCAGGUAUUUAACUCAGUGCUUGCCAUCUCUCUUUCUCUCUCUAUCACACACUCUCUCCUCACGCUCUCUGUGAGACAAUCCACUUCAUUGCCUGGUUACUAGCCUGUAAAGGUCAAAACAUAUCAUUACACCUGCUACCGUUUAAAGGAUAGUCCAGUGCCUUAGUUGCUUUCCUUAAUUUUUUUCUUUGUAAGGGACGGGGAAAUAAUAAUUAAAAAUAAAAGAACAAUCAGAAGUUAGAGAGGGAACAAGGGGGCCGGGAAAGGGCCGUGGACCGAAGGGGAGGGGGAGCCCCGCGCUCUGCCCCUCCCCCUGCUCGAGUUCACUGGACGGGCGUCUGCACCCCGUGGUGAGGUGGCGUGUCCCUACUCCCCCCGUACACAUCCUCGGCGCCCGGCAGAGUCCCUCCGGGAGGGGUCAUCCUUUUCUCUUUCUGUCUCCUGUUACAAAACCAAACUCUCACCACCUCCUUCUCCAGCUGUAAGCUGUCCGCGAGGGAAGUGAUCUCCUGGGCCGAGGGCUUGGGGCAUUUGAGGAAAUGGCUCUCCAGAGCCCCCUUGACGCUCACCUCGAUGGAGGUCCUCUUUUUCCUCUUGCGCCCCUGCGCCGCGAUCUUGUCUAUGCUCGUGGGGCUGCCCGAGGACGAGUCCGCCUCCUCCAACCACUUGUUCAACAAAGGCUUCAGCUUGCACAUGUUCUUGAAGCUCAGCUGCAGGGCCUCAAACCUGCAGAUGGUGGUCUGCGAGAACACGUUGCCGUACAGGGUGCCCAGAGCCAGCCCCACGUCCGCUUGGGUAAAUCCCAGUUUGAUCCGCCGCUGCUUGAACUGCUUGGCGAACUGCUCCAGGUCAUCCGAGGUCGGCGUGUCCUCGUCCGAGUGCGGGUCGUGGUGCGCGCCGGGGUGGCCCGGCGGGCCUUGCGGGGGCGGCGGCGGCGGCGGCUGCGGGUGUGGAUGCGAGUGCGGGUGCGGGUGGUGGUCCGCGUGGUGCGGUUCGUCGUGCGCGUCCCGCAGGCCGUGGUGGUGCAGCCCGGCCGGCUGCCCGCCGGCGCCCAGCAUGCCGUUCACCGUGAAGCUGGGCUGCGAGUAGAGCAAGCCGCCGUUGGACGCUCCCAUGGAGGGCGGGAGGUGCGCUGCAGCCGCCGCGCUCCGCCAUGCCCCGGGCCCCGGGUGGUGGUUGGCGGCGUGGUGCACCAGAUGCGGCGGCCGCUGCUGUUGCUGCUGCUGUUGCUGCUGCUGUUGCUGCUGCUGCUGCUGCUGUUGCUGCUGCUGGUGCUGCUGCUGCAGGGCGCCUGGCCCGUGCAGCUCGUCGCCGCGGCCGCCCUGCUGUACCACCACGGAGGGCUUGAUGUCCGGCUGGCCCAACGGGCUGGUGGACCACGGG